rfam:Oreochromis niloticus linkage group LG1, whole genome shotgun sequence.
UUUAAGGAUUUUCUCAAAUCCACACAUAUAUUAAACUGGUUAAUAU